AUGCAUUAAAAUAAAGACAUUUCAUGCUCAACUGAUGCUAUCAAAGUAGAAUAAUGCAGUUCAAUAUGUAAGCAAACCAGGGAGAAGGAGGUUGUGUGACAUUUAGUCUUUGAUGGUAGCGUUGUUCACACAGGUUAGCCAUUGCCACUUCUACAGUCCAAGUACUAACUGCAUAUGCAGCUGAAGGUUGCUCACAGUGCUGAUAGCUGGUAGCUUGUUCUGUGAAAGGUUUGGGGAUUAUAACAAAAAA
rnacentral:lncRNA from 1 species